AUACGGAGGGUGCAAGCGUUGUUCGGAAUCACUGGGCGUAAAGGGCGCGCAGGCGGUUUGGUAAGUCAGAUGUGAAAGCCCACGGCUCAACCGUGGAAGUGCAUUUGAAACUGCCAGACUUGAGUACCAGAGGGGAAAGUGGAAUUCCCGGUGUAGAGGUGAAAUUCGCAGAUAUCAGGAGGAAUACCGGUGGCGAAGGCGACUUUCUGGCUGGAUACUGACGCUGAGGCGCGAAAGCGUGGGGAGCAAACAGGAUUAGAUACCCUUGUAGUCC
rnacentral:rRNA from 1 species